GGACUACCGGGGUUUCUAAUCCUGUUCGCUCCCCACGCUUUCGCUCCUCAGCGUCAGUAUCGGCCCAGAGACCCGCCUUCGCCACCGGUGUUCCUCCUGAUAUCUGCGCAUUUCACCGCUACACCAGGAAUUCCAGUCUCCCCUGCCGAACUCUAGUCUGCCCGUAUCGAAUGCAGGCCCAGGGUUGAGCCCUGGGUUUUCACAUUCGACGCGACAGACCGCCUACGAGCUCUUUACGCCCAAUAAUUCCGGACAACGCUUGCACCCUACGUAUUACCGCGGCGGCUGGCAC
rnacentral:rRNA from 1 species